AAGCGUACAAACAAGAAAAACAUGAGCUAACUGCAUUCUGCUCAGACAAAGUUUAGCUUUUUUUUACCCCUCAAUUCAGAGAAAAAGGGUUUGGGGAGGGAUAAGGAGAGGGUAACGCAGCUACAGACUACUCCAGUGUCCAAGAGAGACAGAAGACAAGAUACAGGAAGAGAAGCAAGACAGAUUUUUUUUAUUUUUCUUAAUUAUUCAACAAUAAAAAUAACUAAAUCACACCAAUUUCCUUUAGUACUAUAUAUACUGCUUUGAAAAGCUUGAAGAAGGAGAGGAUAUAGAAGAAAUAUGGAGGGGACUUUUUGAGAUGGGCACUCAGGAUUACAAGAUGGAGUCUGUGAACAAAAGGCACUUUUUAGGGACAACCUUUAAGAUGCUCUGAUUCUAACACUAGAACACCAAACAAAUAUUUAGAAUAAUUUACACUGCGGAUUGGGAGUGGAAGGGGGAAGGGUUCACUUCUUUGAUUUAAUCCUGCUCUCAUCCUUGCUGUGCUCAAAAUAUACCUUAUACUCCCUCGCCUUGUUUGGGUUUGAGAUAGGAAUCAACUAAAUCUACUUCGCGUUACACCUCCCAUCUCUCCAAAUGCUAAUAAUCACUUUGUGGUUGAGCUAACACUUAGAAAAAUGGAUUCCAUUUCUGAUGCAUCUCCCAAAAUGGGGAAGAUCUUGUCUGUGUCCCAAACUUGAUUACUUCGGUUGGCCAGUUUUAAACAUGUCCACAGUUUAGAAAAUUGGAUGCAAGUUGCAAUUCAUCUGUUAAAUAGGUAAUGUUUUAGUCAGUUCUCUGGUGAUACUGACAUGGCCCAGAUGUCCAUUACGUCAGGCCUUUUCCACUAGUUCAUCAUCCCAUUGUCAGGAUAACCAUCUAAUCAAUCUAAAAAAAAAACGGUUCUCUUCCUGCUCUGGGAUAAAGGUUGAAGAAAAAUGCCUUUAUCACAACUUUUUCAUAUAAUGAACCCCUCCCCCCUUGGUGAAUACAAAAAGAGAAAUAGAAUGCAUGUUUCCUAAAAUGUGCUUUAUGAUAACACUUAAUUUUGUUCAUUACUAUUUAUGUAUAAGAGUUUGAAUGUACUUUCAUAAAAAGCACCUGUUUCAUUUAGUGAUAUAUAUUUUUGUUUUGCUAAAUUGUUCCUUCAGCCCUCCCAGAUUUAGAAAACAAAUCAUCACAAAUACAUUUUUUUAAAUGAAUAAGGAAAAAAAUAAAAAUUCAUUUUCAAUUUACAAAGACUGGGAUUUUUUUUGUCUGCCCUCGUGUUUAGAGUCCCGGAGCUAGUGGACUUAAAACAAAAAAAUAGAGGGUUUAGCGCCUCUUUUCUCGUGACACCCUCAAACAAUCUCUAACAGACAAACACAAUUUAUCUACCCAAGGCAUUGCACAUGGCUCAAUCAACACACAUACAUUUUAUUCAACAACAAUUACUCCCCC
ensembl:lncRNA